GGCUGCGCAUGCUCAGGUGCAAACAACCGUUCACCCAAACAACCAUCCAUCCACUUGUGCGUUCCUUCUAGCAGCUGGCGCUUUCUGAGCGCGUCCUGUGCAGGGCCCGGGUGGGGAUGCGUGGAUAAGAAGCGGCCGCAGUCACCCAACCCUGAGUGGCUCAAGGGCCAGGGCACAAGGGGCUCACAGCCACACUGACCUGCGUCACUCUAUUUUGUGUGACAGUUUGCUGGUUUCGCCUGCUGAUGGUGGCAGCCCCAGUAGUUCCUGACAAAUAGUAGGCUUACACGCAUGUGCGAUGUAUGGACCAAGUGCGGGCCCCGCCAACCCUGGAUUCGUUUGUUCUACUGCCUGUGAGCUGCAGGCGCAGGCCUCAGGCUGAGCACUGUGAGCCUGUUUCCUUCCUGCAGGAGCUCCCGCCCCUUAUAUCGGGAAAACUCCAAAGAGGAGAAGGUUGUGGAGCUUCAGCUGCUCUUUGAAACAGGUGCUCGGAGCCCCAGCAGAAGCAGAGGUCACCCUGCCCUGGACCCCGCUCCCCCAAAUGCCUGCAGCCACCCCAGUGUAGUUCCUCUUUAGCGACUCUGGCCUACAUGAGCUCCACUGGCUUUGCAUCCCGACACGCCAGAACACAGGAUGGAACAAGGGAGCAGACACCGCUAACCAUUUCCUCCUUCAUACUCUAAGGACAGGCCUGGAACAUGGGGAAGGCAAACUGGAAAGUUCAGUCUCUUCUCCAUUAGCAUCUCAGGAACAAGACUUUCUCAAAGGAAUAAAGCCAUUACACCAAACCAAGCACAGAAGCCUCAUUGGUGAAUUCCUACAAAUAUGUAAACAAAUAACACAAAGAGAUUACCACUGCUCAACUCACUGGCUUCACAUGAAUGUUCCAGAAGACCCCUGAUUCAGCAUUGGAUCUUCCUCAGCACUGUCACUUGUUACAGAAAAAAUAUCCUAAUAAAGGCUCAUGUGAGACAAGGACUUGUCUUUCAACUUUGGGGAGAUCAACAUCCUCCAAAACUCUGCUGGAGUUUGUCACUGAUGUGGUAAUUCACAGGAGAGACAGAAACACUGUGACCCAGCACUGUGCUGAUUUGAUUCUGUGUUUGGUCUUAUGGAAUCCUAGUCUCUCUACAGAAAGAGCUGAAGCCUUCAACACAGUGUGUAUGAGAAGGCUGCAAGUUUCCUCUAUGUCUUCAGUAAAAACAGCAGACUGAGGAGCUGUCCAUGUGGGUGGAGUGCCUUCAAGCACCAUGAAUGCUUGUCAAUAUGGAUGAGGAAUCUGAGCACCAGCUUAACUUCUCCAUGUUUUACAAGAAUCCACUUAUGAGUGAGUACAUACCACGUUUGUCCUUCAAGACAUCACUAUUAGCUACUGAAGUUUGAGCAUUCUGGAAGAGCCUAGAGCCACCCUGAGGCCACCCGAGGCUCUGCAGCCUGUGUACUGUUCUGGUCAAAUGCUCUGAGGUCUAGAGGCAGAACCAGGCUUCCUGCAUAGCACCAGUAUCAAGGAAAGGCCUAUGACCAACCAGUUCCUGUUAUGAUUUAAUGGAAGCCAGCGGGCUCCUGUGUUUCUGAGGACCACACCAGUCCCCUUCCUUGGCUCCUGUGUUUCUGAGGACCACACCAGUCCCCUUCCUUGGCUCCUGUGUUUCUGAGGAUCACACCAGUCCCCUUCCUUGGCUCCUGUGUUUCUGAGGACCACACCAGUCCCUGUCCUGGGAGACUAUGAGCAGAUGGAGGGCAGUGUCUUGAAGCACAACCCACACAGAGGAGAGUCAAUGCUAUGUUUUUGGGACUGCUGUUGUUUUAAGUAUAGUGACCUGGGCUCCUGAUCCUUUUGUUCUGGUUGUCCCCCAAAGGCCUGCUGCAUGGUCAAGGCCCUGUGACUUCCUUCACCUUGACAUUCUUCUUUUCCACCAUCUCUUCUGUGUGGAAGUGUUUCUUUCCCAGAUUUUGAGUUCUUGGAUGUUUCUUAACAAAAUGACACUCCUUCUUUUGGGUGAUGAACCCCUCUGUGAGAGGUGAAUGGAAGUAAAAUUUCUAGCCUUUGUAUGUCUGAUAAAGCAUAUAAUU